rnacentral:rRNA from 1 species
AUUAAAUGGCCGCAGUAUUUUAACUGUGCGAAGGUAGCAUAAUCAUUAGUUUUUUAAUUGAAAGCUAGUAUGAAUGAUUGGACGAAAUAUUAACUGUUUCAUAAAAAUUUAUAAUAGAAUUUUAUUUUUUAGUAAAAAAGCUAAAAUUAAUUUAAAAGACGAGAAGACCCUAUAAAUCUUUAUAUUAAAAAUUUUAUUAAAAAUUUGUAGUUUUUAGUAAUAAUUAUUAAUAAUAUUUUAUUGGGGUGAUAUUAAAAUUUAAUAAACUUUUAAUUUUUUGUUACAUAAAUUUAUGAUUUUUUGAUCCAUUAAUAAUGAUUAAAAAUUUAAGUUACUUUAGGGAUAACAGCGUAAUUUUUUUAAAAAGUUCAUAUUGAUAAAAAAUAUUGCGACCUCGAUGUUGGAUUAAGAUAUAAUUUUAGGUGUAGUUGCUUAAAUUUUAAGUCUGUUCGACUUUUAA